rnacentral:rRNA from 1 species
GACGAACGCUGGCGGCGUGCUUAACACAUGCAAGUCGAACGGUGAAAGAGGAGCUUGCUCCUCUGGAUCAGUGGCGAACGGGUGAGUAACACGUGAGUAACCCGCCCCAGACUCUGGAAUAACCCCGGGAAACCGGAGCUAAUACCGGAUACGAGACAGAGAGGCAUCUCUACUGUCUGGAAAGUUUUUCGGUCUGGGAUGGACUCGCGGCCUAUCAGCUUGUUGGUGAGGUAACGGCUCACCAAGGCGACGACGGGUAGCCGGCCUGAGAGGGCGACCGGCCACACUGGGACUGAGACACGGCCCAGACUCCUACGGGAGGCAGCAGUGGGGAAUAUUGCACAAUGGGCGAAAGCCUGAUGCAGCGACGCCGCGUGAGGGAUGACGGCCUUCGGGUUGUGAACCUCUUUCAGUAGGGAAGAAGCGAAAGUGACGGUACCUACAGAAGAAGCACCGGCUAACUACGUGCCAGCAGCCGCCGUAA